UACGUAGGGGGCAAGCGUUGUCCGGAUUUAUUGGGCGUAAAGAGCGUGUAGGCGGCUUUACAGGUCCGUUGUGAAAACUCGAGGCUCAACCUCGAGACGCCGGUGGAAACCCUCUGGCUAGAGUCCGGAAGAGGAGAGUGGAAUUCCUGGUGUAGCGGUGAAAUGCGCAGAUAUCAGGAAGAACACCCGUGGCGAAGGCGGCUCUCUGGGACGGUACUGACGCUGAGACGCGAAAGCGUGGGGAGCAAACAGG
rnacentral:rRNA from 1 species